rnacentral:rRNA from 1 species
UACGAAGGGGGCUAGCGUUGUUCGGAUUAACUGGGCGUAAAGCGCACGUAGGCGGUUUGUUAAGUCAGAGGUGAAAUCCCGGAGCUCAACUCCGGAACUGCCUUUGAUACUGGCAAGCUAGAGUCCGGAAGAGGUAAGUGGAACUCCUAGUGUAGAGGUGGAAUUCGUAGAGAUCGGGAGGAACACCAGUGGCGAAGGCGGCUACCUGGACCAGCACUGACACUGAGGCACGAAAGCGUGGGGAGCAAACAGG